rnacentral:rRNA from 1 species
GUCUGGGAAACUGCCUGAUGGAGGGGGAUAACUACUGGAAACGGUAGCUAAUACCGCAUAACGUCGCAAGACCAAAGAGGGGGACCUUCGGGCCUCUUGCCAUCAGAUGUGCCCAGAUGGGAUUAGCUAGUAGGUGGGGUAAUGGCUCACCUAGGCGACGAUCCCUAGCUGGUCUGAGAGGAUGACCAGCCACACUGGAACUGAGACACGGUCCAGACUCCUACGGGAGGCAGCAGUGGGGAAUAUUGCACAAUGGGCGCAAGCCUGAUGCAGCCAUGCCGCGUGUGUGAAGAAGGCCUUCGGGUUGUAAAGCACUUUCAGCGAGGAGGAAGGUGGUGAACUUAAUACGUUCAUCAAUUGACGUUACUCGCAGAAGAAGCACCGGCUAACUCCGUGCCAGCAGCCGCGGUAAUACGGAGGGUGCAAGCGUUAAUCGGAAUUACUGGGCGUAAAGCGCACGCAGGCGGUUUGUUAAGUCAGAUGUGAAAUCCCCGGGCUCAACCUGGGAACUGCAUUUGAAACUGGCAAGCUAGAGUCUCGUAGAGGGGGGUAGAAUUCCAGGUGUAGCGGUGAAAUGCGUAGAGAUCUGGAGGAAUACCGGUGGCGAAGGCGGCCCCCUGGACGA